GUGUGUUUCUCCUCUUAGACUCUUAGCUGAAGAAGUGUCUUUAGAAUAAAUCUCUUGACAUUUAUUUUGGUCCUUCGAAGCCGGGGCAGAAAUAUCAGAACUGUUAUCUGUGACUCUGUUCCAGGAUCCAGCACUGAUUCCUGACGCCGUGGGAAGCCAGCACCGAAGUCUGUGCACAGCCCUCUUAGACGAGGCCGAAAGACCUGGGACACUAAAAUUCGGGUCCAGGCCGGUGUUUUUAGCCUGGUCCACGGCGGUGGGAUUCAGUCUGGCGAUCCGAACCACCAGUGAGACGUCUGAGGGUUGAAGCCAGGUGAUUGGAUCCUUGUCCGAGUACUCCAAAGAAAAAAUUGGAGCUCGCCACGGUGGGAGGGUCCAUACCAAGUGCCUGCAAAAUAGCGGAGAGACCCUCCUGGAUACAUCAGAGCCACUGCAAAAAAGUUGAGGUCCCUGAGGAUUCCACUUCUUCCACAGAAAUCAACUAGUAAAGGAAACUAGGAAAGUCUCACUCGCGCUUGGUUGCUUCGGGGGUGAGGGGGGGCAGUGCUGAUUGGGCCCCCGUAGGGAAAGCCCGCACUCCAAUUUCCAUCCGAUCAACUUUAGGGCAGCCAGGUGCAGGUGUGUACAACCAUGGGAAGGUGGACCCUCUUGGUUACCUUGACUACGACGCUCACCCUUACAGGACCCCAGCUGACGCCAACAACAGCUGAACCACGAGGCAGACAGAAAAGAUGGACGCACGACAACUCGCACCUAAGAGAUAUGAUGCAAGACCACAUCCACCCUUGGAUGAACAAUGCCUGGUACCGUUAUAUCCACGACAGGACCAAGGCGGAAUCGGCAAAUACAGACUGUUAUGUCUGUUCUCAUAUGCCCAGCACAUCAACACACCCCACACUAUAUGGUGAAUAUAUGAACAACACUCAAGCAAAGUGUGCAGCCAGCUUCGCUGGCAUUGGAUUCCAACACAGCUGAAUCAUCACCAACGACACAAUCCCACAUGCUGUUGGACUUAGUAAUGGAACAUGUGAUCAACUCUUCUGGAUCGAUUUCAACGUGACAAACCGGAAUACAUCCAUCCACUUCCCAGUGUUUCUGGACCAACUCCCAGGGAAGAACCACUCCAUGUGUUAUCAACAAGAGAAAGGUAACACACCCGUUGGAAACACGACAAACUGCGUCCAAACUGCAGUCCACGGAGAGGGCGCCCCUGUGAAUAUGAGUGGACCUUCUAACGGCACGUACUGGGUGCAAGGAAUGGCCUAGCUAUGUGGACAA